AGGGCCCUACGGGACGCAGCAGUGGGGGAUAUUGCACAAUGGAGGAAACUCUGAUGCAGCGACGCCGCGUGAGGGAAGACCGUCUUCGGAUUGUAAACCUCCGUCUUUGGGGAAGAAAAUGACGGUACCCAAAGAGGAAGCUCCGGCUAACUACGUGCCAGCAGCCGCGGUAAUACGUAGGGAGCGAGCGUUGUCCGGAAUUACUGGGUGUAAAGGGAGCGUAGGCGGGCGAGAAAGUUGAAUGUUAAAUCUACCGGCUUAACUGGAAGCUGCGUUCAAAACUUCU
rnacentral:rRNA from 1 species